rnacentral:rRNA from 1 species
CAUUGUCUCCCGAGAGGAUAGGAGAUAGGGCCUGCCCAAUGACAUUUCAAUGGCCGCAGUAAUUUGACUGUGCAAAGGUAGCAUAAUCAUUAGUUUUUUAAUUGAGGACUGGUAUGAAAGGCAUAACGAGGUUUUUGUUUUCUUAAAUAAAAAAUAAAAUUUUACUUUUUAGUUAAAAGGCUAAAUUAAUUUUAGGGGACGAGAAGACCCUAUAGAGUUUUAUAAAUUAACUUAAUUUAUUUCGGCAGAUUUAAAAAGUUAAGUGAAUUUAUUUGGUUGGGGAGAUUUUGUAAUAAAACUUAUAAUUAAAUUAACAUUGUAUAUGAUUAGAUGAUCCAUAAAUUGAUUGAAAGACUAAAUUACCUUAGGGAUAACAGCGUUAUUUUCUUGGAGAGUUCUUAUCAAUAAGAAAGUUUGCGACCUCGAUGUUGGAUUAAGAAAAUGAUUAAAUGUAGCUGUUUAAUUAAUAGGUCUGUUCGACCUUUAAAAUCUUACAUGAUCU